UCAUAUGCUUGUCUCAAAGAUUAAGCCAUGCAUGUCUCAGUACAAGCCAACCCAUACGGUGAAACCGCAAAAGGCUCAUUAAAUCAGUUAUGGUUUCUUAGAUUGUACCCAUGUAACAUGGAUAACUGUGGUAAUUCUAGAGCUAAUACAUGCCGACAGAGCUCCCACCAGUGCGCCGUCGUUUGGCGACUCGUCCGUCAUCGGCAGCUGUUUGGAAGGAGCG
rnacentral:rRNA from 1 species